AAAAAGAAAUGAAAAGAGGUUUUGAUCCAAUUGGGCCAGUUUUGCACCCAGAUCUGUCCCUAACCCGAGGCCAAAACCCAGGGAACCCAGUUCAGACCCCCACUAACUCAACAUGACCCUGUUUUGUUCCCCCUCAAUCACGACCGUUGGAUCAUAACAUUCCAUUAAUUAUUUAAUUGUCCGAAUUAGACCCCCCCUAUUCAAAACCCUUCAAUUCACCUCAUUCACCCAAAUAACCCCAAAUUCAGACCCUAUAAUCCUUGAACCCCUCUGAACCUUUAACCACCGUUAAUCCCCUUUGAAUCAGCCUCAAUUUCCUCGAAUUUUGAAUCUGAGUUCUCAAGGACCCUAACUUCCUUUCAUUUCCAAUUUUUUGGAAAUUUUUAGGACUUUUGAACCCAAGAAUUCCAUGAGUCCAUUGCUCUUGAUAAGAAUAGUGGAUUGAUGAUUGUCUAAAGUGCAUUUUACCUCGGAUUAUUUGGGCAGAAUCCGAAGUUAGUCCAUAUUUUAUUGGAAGAAUAAGAAUUAGGUAAUUUCUUGUACAAUUUUCUUCUUUAAUUUCCUUUUUGUUUUGGUCGUUCCCUCCUUUUAUGUUAAUUGCCUUUCAUUUAACCGCAUAAUUUAGGUAUUCUUUUCUGUCUAUUUGCUUCGUUAAUUGCAUGUUUCAAGAUUUUGUCAAUUAAAAAUUCAAUGUUUCACAAGUCCAAAUUGCUUAGAUUGAAUUAUUAGGUUUAGUUUUCUUAUAAUUCUCCUAUUCUGUUUCUCCUUUUAUUUUUUUUUUUCUGAUUGUUUGUUUUUUGUUAUUUUUGUUGUUCUUGCUAGUUUAGUAAUAUAAUUAAGAUGGAGUUAAAAGGUUAAUUAAUAGUCUGUUUAGCCAAAUCCUGCUUACUUUUUAUUUUGCCGGAUUCAACUUCAUUUCAUUGUUUUGAAUUUAGCCAGUUUUGAUUCUUGGUUUCUUGGCCUAAUCAUGCUGGGUUUCUGUAACUCUUUGAAUCUGAGUUGAUUACCCACAUGUUUUGAUUGAUUAGGACUAAUUAAUUUUAACUUUAGGUUUGAAGCUCUGAGUAGUAGUUUUAACCUUAGUAAAUCUCAGAAAAUAAAAUGCAAUACCAUUAGGCAACCUAAUCACAUAGGUGAAGGUCUUAAAAUGGUUGUAAUUGAUUUGAAAUACUUUUCAUACUUGUCUCCAUCCUUGCUUAAAAGGCUGGUAUUGGAUAAGGGAAAGGACAAAUAGCUGUAAAAGAUACUCUACUAUUCUGAUUUUCAAAAUUUUCAGGUUAGGUUAUUUCUUUUUUAUGCCUUUUUGUUCACUAUAUAAAAGGAAAACAUUCCCUCACACACACACACACACACAUUCUGCAUGAUUCUCUGCACAAAUAUUCCUGAAAACACAUAAGAUUUUUGAACCCUAAGAAAUACACUCUACAAGUUCAACUGCCUUAUUUUUCCUUGGAAUUUUUGAAAAAACUUAAAGAACUUCUUUAAAUAUUUCUGGGUUUUCAUUAUCCAUAAAUGGUUUGAAGCUUAAAAUUUCUCUUUUGGGAUCUAUUUGGCUUGUUGUUGCUGUGUUGGGUUAUUGCUGUUGUUUCCUUUUUUUGAAGUUUUCGGCCAGUUUCCUUUCAUCUUAUACUUGUUGUUUUUCUAUUGCUAUUCAAGGUACACAUUUUCUUCCAUGCUCAAGUGUUUGUAAAUGGAGUUUAAAGAUAAAUACAAGUUGUUCUUUCCUGUCAAUGAUGUAUAUCUAUGUUUUCUUGCUAUGAUUUAUCCACUGAAGUUUCAAAUAUUGAAGCUCUUCUUUGAAAUAUGUGAUUCUUUGUCUAUUUGGUUUUAAAUCAUGAGAAUAUGUUUCCUUGUAUGAGUUUAGCAUUGGUCAUUUGUUUACUUCAGUUGGUAUAUACUUCUUUUUUGUUGCAUUGAUCAAGUAGCAUGUUAGAUCCCCAUAUUUGAAACUUUGUUUAUUCAUUGAGUCUAACCUCUACAUGGUCAGAUUCAUGGAUUACACUACCCCCCCUUCGUUCAUUCUUGUAUUGGUCUAAGGCGGCAUAUCAUUCCUUUGGGUUUGAAGCCCUUGUUAGUUUGUGAGUUUGACCCUUAUUAUAGUCAAACCCAUAAAUCACAUUGUUUUUUAUCGUUGCAUUGUUUGUUGAGCUUGGUUUGUUAAUAUAGUAGAUCUAUGUAUCUGAAGACAUUUUCGUGAAUCUAAAGAUUCAUGAAAGUCUAAGUUGAAACUUGAAACCAAGGCUGGUUUGACAGUAAGAAGCCUCAGAGUUGGAACUAAGUUUUAGCAUAUAAGGAACAAUUCCAUAGCUAAUUUUUCUUGCAAAUUAAUGCUCAUUCAAAGGAGUUUAUAGAAGAUUUGGAGUUAGGAAGAAUGCCACCCUUACCUUAAUUAUUCCUCCUUUUCCCUCAGACACAAUGCUGUAUUUAGAAGUGCUUUGUAAAUUUAUGGACUUUUGUUAAGUAAAUGGAAUGUUGGAGUGUUCUAAGUUCGAGAUUUGACUAUUUUAAUUCUUAGUUUAGGUUCAUAGCAUAUGAUUUUUUGUAAUGAGUACAGUCCAGCAUCACAGAAUCACUUGAGUAUAAUACAAAUUGGGCCAGACUUGCAACAAGGCCCAAAUUUGGGAACCACCUAAGCAAGUCUAGGCCCAGGUGAAUGGACCCGGGCAUUAAAUACAGUAAUUACCUUUAUUUAUAAAUUCCUCUUGUAAAUUCCAGUAUAAAUUGUAUGUCUUAAAAAUCAUAUUAAUCUACUUAAUUCUAGACUCGGAUUUUAUUGUUUUAAUUUUGAUUGUCUUCUUUAAAAAAAGUGAUGCGAGUUAUAACUUUGCAAAGUGUGCAUUGUGUAAGGUUGGGCUAAAGAUGUAGAGGUAAAUAUGUCCUGUCCAUAGAUAUUCACAAUUGGGCCCGCCUGAAGCCCAAUAUGGGCAAACACUCAAUUAAAACUCCAACAAGGGAAAGAGCCCUUACGUUCUUUUCUGAUGGGCCAAACUUUAAGCCUAAAUGCAACUUUUCAAAGCUGAAUUUUUUCAGAUUUGAUCGAGUGAUGAACGCCCAAGCCUAAAUCCUUUUUAAAAGAAUUAAUUUAAGCCCAUCACACUUACACUUUAAGUUAGAUAUUCUUAGUCUGAACUUUAAAAUUGAAUUAAAUAUAAGUAUCCUUAGUCUUAAUUAAGUGAAAUGCAAUCCCUUUUGUUAAAAUAAAAUUGAUAUGUGCUACAAACAAAACCCUAACUUAUGGCCCUCAUAUUAAGUGCUAACUUAGUAUAGUAAAAUAUAUUUCUUAAACACUCUUAAUUUUAUUUAGGCCCGACUUAAACUAUUAUUGUAAUUAUGUAUAUUCACGUAAUAUAAUUACAAAAUUAUUUGUAAAAAUUUACUCGAGGGAUGCGUUUGCGCAACUUCAACUAAACUUUCUUAAUAAAUAAAUAAAGCAUUAUUAAUUAUGAACACGUUCGUGUGAAAUAAUUUUUGACGCGCCAAAGGAAAAAUGUAUUCGUACGCGUAAUUCAGUUUAUUAAAUACGAAUAAAUCAAGAUUAAAAGCGGUUAAAAGAAAAAUACACAUAGGUCCUAGAAAUGAGUAAUUAAACAAUUUGAGCCAAGUAAUAAUCACUAAGCGACCUUGCUAGAACCACAGAACCCGGGAAUGCCUAACACUUUCUCCCGGGUUAAGAAAAUUUCUUACUUAAAAUUUCUGGUUCGUAGAGUUUUUAAAAAUAAAAAUCAAAAUUUUCUCGAUUUGUAAUUUUAAAAUAAAACAAUGACUUGGAACACCAAAUAAACUAUUUCAAGUAGCGACUCUGAUAAAUAAAAUAAUCUCAUUUCGGUUAAUAUCACUUUAAAUUGGAAAAUACUCCCAUAUACCCUCGGGGUGUAAACAUGGAGGUGUGAAAGCUCUGGCAAUCUGUUGUAGAUCUCGAACCCAGAAUCUCUGGUUUAGGGUUCAAGAAUUCGAGUUUGUUAAUGUGAUUUUUAUUUGGAUUUGUUGUCAAUAUUACUGUAUUUUAUGGACUUAAUGUGCUAAUUGUCAUUUACCACUUUGAUAUUACCUGAACUGCAUUUAAAUGUCUUUUUACGCUUCCUUCCGAGUCUUCUAAAAAUGGUCUUACGUUCGCGUGGCCGACCUUUCUGUUAGAGUUAUACCAAAUAGAACGGGACUAGGAAAGCAACAAGGCUGGGCAGACUUUCGUGCCCACAGUACGUUUCGCCCUCCUCGACUCGAGUUUGUCCGCUCGGGUGUUGAUAUUUAAUUUUAUCUAUAUAUUUUAGAUAUGCAAAAAUACCUUUAAAAUAGCACACACACACGCACACACACACACACACACAUAUAUAUAUAUAUGCACACACACACAUACAUAUAUAAGCAUGCCCAAGGUUUUUAUUAUUUUUUUCAUAAUUUUAAGGGUUUAAAUUGAUUUAUUUUCUCCCUUUUUAUCCAUAAAAUCCCUAAUAAAUAUUAUGAUAGUUUAUUUAUUGUAUUUCUAUAUUUGUGCCAAAAUAUGGCUAAAUUAAUUUUUAUAUAUUUUUGCAAUUACAUUUAGUAUUUUAAAGCUAAAUUGCAUAUAAUUACGAUGUUAGCCCAUUUUAAGAUAUAAUUAUGUUUUAUUGCAUAAAAUUAUAUCAUGUAUUUUUAAAUUUCUAAUUAUGCAUUCUAAAUCAUUUUAGAACUUUAAGUUAUUUUUUAGAAAGUAUUUACUAUCUUUUAUAAAUUAAAUAGUGAACAAUUGCCUAUUUAAAUUAUAGUCGAAUUGACUUUCAAUUAUAGCCAAGUCGGACCCCAAUUCACAACCAAAUUUUACAAUUAAAAAACCCCACGCACACCCUAUUAACCCAUACCCAAACCUGAAACCCGCUUACCUUUUGAAUCUCGACCGUUGAUCUUCCAGAUCAACGGUCUCCGUUAUUACCUUCCUUUUUAAUCUAACAACCCCCAAACCCUACCAUAUUCUCUCAUUUGCGCCGCCUCUGAAUCCUUUCCUCCUAUCUUCUCUCUUAGACACCAAUUCAAACCUAAUCACUAUCCACCUUCUCCGUACACCUCCCUCGCCGAAAACCAUGGCCUCUCAUCAUCUCCUGGCCUCUGCUUCACCCUACGCUGGUUUGACACCACCCUAAGGUCCUCAAGUGAGCAUAGAGCGGUUCAGCUCCUAUCCAUGUUCUUUCACGCCAUUUAUUAUGUCAAAAACCCUAAUUUCGUAGUUCUAUCCUGGGUUUCUGUGUGUGUUUUUGAUAUUAUGUUCGACUAGUCUGUAUGUUUCUCAUGAAUAUUCUGUGAUUAUGUGAACUUUACCCUAUGUUUUCUUGUUAAGUUCUUUGACUUCGAUUAUGCCUGCCUAUUAUGUGUUUACUCCUAGAAAUUUGUGUUUAUUUCCCCUUAUCAGUACCAUAAAUUGUUUUGAAUAAUGGAUUUAAGUGAUUCUUUUUACCUACUCUUGUUUGUGUUAUAUUUGUUUCGUUUAGUUGUUAUGCUUUCCAAGUAUACCUUUAAUGGAAUCCCUAAUUCCCUAUGAUUGGUAUGCUCUGUUCCCUACUGAUUUUCAACCUCAAAAUAUUUUCUUGCCUUAUUUUGUGGUUGAUUGGGUUGUCAAACUGAUUCUUAGACAUUUUCCUUAAUUAAAAUUUGUCGAACCUAGCCCCUAUUACAUACUCUGUACUAUGCUCAUUUCCUUAUGUGUUAUAUUCCAAUCUCAUAUGAUCCCCUUCCUUAUUUGUUGCAUGCUUUAUACCGAUGGUAAAUUACUCCCUUAGUUAAGGGAGACUUGAAUGAUUUUCGAUUCUUAAUUGAUUAUGCAGUUCUCCAAUUGCUUCUUCCCUUAUUUACUUGACUUUAAAAACUGUUAUAUAUACUUUCCUCUCUUUUCAUUACACAGACGAACAAUGACACUGUUCUGGACUCUCUCUUACACACAUACAUACUCUCUUGCUUCUCUUGAUAUUUAUUUGAUACUCAGUCGGCUUCAAGCCAAAACUCAGUGAUUACAUUGCUCUGCUGCUUUAUUGUUCUACCGCUCUACUGCUCUACACAUUACUACUCUACUUCCCUUCAUUGUACUGCUUUUCACUCCCCACUCUUCAUUAAUUCUCUCAUUGUUACCGGUAUGUUUUAAUUUUAACUUACAACAUCCAAAAUAAUGUGUCCCUAUUUGUAUUGCACUUCCUUUUGUUUCUCUUGUGCUUUUACUUGUAGUUCUGAUGUCUCCCUUACAAUUAACAUGCCUAUUUUGCCAUGUUGUUACCCUUCCAUGUAAUCCAACAUAGCUAUUGCUUCCUUACAUUUUUCUACUACUAUUCUGCCCUACCCCCUAACUGCAACACAUUAUAAUCAUGACACCUAGUUACUAUGUGACCUUGAACCUUCCCUCCCUGAACCUAGUGUGUAACUUUGUUUAGCACCCCUUAAAUCUAAUGUUGUUAAGCUCCUGGUAUGAAUACUUUGUAAUAGACUAUUUUUGUGACUAUUCAGUUUUGUAGUACUUCUCUGGUGUUAACCGGUGUGCUUUCAGAUAUGAACUACUUGUCCCAAUUCCUCCUUUCCCUGUUUAUGUUUGGACUAUGUAUGUUGAUUUGGUUUUGAGUUUUUCAUUGUCCUAUUUCUUUUCUUGUUCAAACCUGUUUUCACUAAGGCAACCUCUUAUAUUACUUCCCAAAACUUAUUUCAAACUAAAUUUUCAAAAUUGUUUCCAACUCAAUUCUUUAAAUCUAUCUCAAGCACUCUCACAUAUAUUCUUAAACCACUAGGUUCUGUCUCUUUUUUGUGAGCGUUGUCUUGGGACCCUUGAGCUCCCUCUGAACUUGGACACAUACAAGUUGGCCUUUCCACACUGCGCUUACUCUGUCUUGGCUAUAAAAUCUAGGUGUGAGCACUACCGGGAUCCCUUGAGGUCUUUGGGGAACUCUGCCACACCCAGUUAUGAGAAAGCCCAUGGAACAAUCUUGGCACUUGAUGUGAUUUACUACAUAUCUCAGGGAGGAAGUCCAAAUAAGGUGCUGAAAGGUUGGGCAUGUUUUCAGGCUCUAUAUAGUGUAACUUUUAUCUUUCUUUUCUGCUUAUGUAAUUCAUUAAAUUAUUGAUUUGUAA
rnacentral:lncRNA from 1 species